GUUCAUGUGUGCGAAAUGUUUCUAGAACCAUAUAAACUGAGCUUUGUUUAUAUUCUGUUUAGAAUUCUGAGGCAUUAUUACACUCUUUGAUCUAUGUUGACCAAAGAAAAAUGUAUGUCUUCAAACGAGUGCUCUGGAAAAGUCCUCUGUAACAAAUAGCUACAGAUUUCUUCUAUCCAAGGAGGACACCUAGAGGCUACUUUCGUGAUGUGAUUGCCAAUCCUGAAAUGCUUUCCAAAUUGUUUUCUUCACAGAUCCAAUCAUAAAUCAUUCAUUGCAGGUCCAGUAAGUCCAGGUAAAACAAUGAAUAACUAAUCUUUAAGGAGAGGAAAAAGGUGAAAAUAAGUUACAUUUAUUUUCCAGGCACAGUAGAAGUACAUUACAAGAUACAGAAGAACUCUUAAAGCACUGAAACUUUCGACUGAAAAAAAUUUGCAACCUGAAAACUGAGAAUAUGCUUCACUCAAGGACAUUAAUUGAGGACUCUAGCUUGGGAAAUCAGCUUCUCAAACAGCUUUGAUGAUUCUCCCUAAGAGAAAGCAGAGUCACGAGAGAUACAGUUAGGAAGCUGGAGAAGAAACAAGGAAGCUAAGGAAAGUCUGUCAAGCCCUCUCAUGGAAAACCUGUGAAAAUAUCUUUGCAGCUUCUUCCUCUGCACUUGCAGCCUUUCUACAUAGCUCAGGGGGAAAUACAGUAGUUUUGAAGUCAAUAAUCACUUAUUCACUAAAGGAAGACACUUGUGUAUACAAUAAAGGAUGGCAUUUCUAUGAAAUUGUCA
ensembl:lncRNA